rnacentral:rRNA from 1 species
AAACGACUCUCGGCAAUGGAUAUCUCGGCUCUUGCAUCGAUGAAGAACGUAGCGAAAUGCGAUACUUGGUGUGAAUUGCAGAAUCCCGUGAACCAUCGAGUCUUUGAACGCAAGUUGCGCCUGAAGCCAUUAGGCCGAGGGCACGCCUGCCUGGGUGUCACA